GUUCCCCUUCAAUGGCCUGCUUUGUCUUUACCCGGCCGAUUAAAUAGAAGGAAUUAGGAGUCAAUCUUAACCCGGCACUUACAUAAAAAUGCAUCCAAACAUCCAUGAAAACAACCCCCCAAAAAAUAUACACCAGACCUCCACCUGAUGUUGGCUUUGGUUUAUCAUCAAUAUAAAGUCAUGAGCAAUUAUCUCGACAGAGACUUUAGUGGUGUGUUCUAGUUGCCAUGUGUUGCGUAAGAAGGCUGAUAAAAUGAUUGAUCCACGAAAAAGCUUCUCAUCCAGGCUCAUAUUUGUCAUGUUCUGCCUUGAUUUGUGUUUCAGCUCCAGCUGGAGUGGAGGGCGUUUCCCUCCAGCAGGCGCACCUGUGCCGCAUUUCCUCCUCAAGCCGAGGUCGCUUCUCUUUGUCGAAUUCUUGACCUCGCUUGCUGUUGUGCGUCAAGUCGUUUUUUCUAGGCCUCACGAUACAAUUCAUCAUCGCUCUCGUUUUCUUGUUUCUUUCACUCCUGCUGUCUGUCGCUGCGCAAGCAGCCAUCGCACACGACGGGGGACGUUAUCGACUGUCGAGUAACAACAAAGCUCAGCGCGACCUCGUUCUCAUAGCAGAAGGUACUGACCGAACAUGGGAUCAAGCUUUUUGAAGACCUGCACGCCGAGAUGGGCGAAACCACAGAGGACGCCCGACUCACGGUCCGCUCGAGCUCUUUGGCGCUGAAGUGGGGCGUCGACGGCACCUCACAUCUGAGAUGGGAUUAUCUUGUCACGAGGAUCACGGCGGACGCAAUAUAUCAGAUUGUGCCAUGACACCGCAAUGUGAAGAAAGCAUUUUUGAAAAAUCCCGUCAUAUAACAAGAAGGAAUAAGGCACAUUUAGUCUCGUGUUCUUUUGUUAUUAUUAUUUGAGCCCUUUUGGAGGGAAUAACAAACAAAAAAGUUCACAGAAAUUAUUGACUGACUGUUACAGUCGCCAGUGAAGAAUCAAUUUGGCAAUAAAGUCUUGCAUCUGCCACAAAAAGAAAUGGCAAAUGCAGUGUGGGUUCCACAGCCCGCCCCUGAGACGCGUUCUCACUCCAUCCUCCGUCAUUUCCAUCUCAGAUGCAUUUGAUUCAAUUACCGGAGUCAUCUAUUAGGACGACUGUACAUGCGGCGAUAAUGAAAUGAUUAAUGCUUUCUCAAAAAAAAUAAAACAUUGUUGCCUGUGAGCGCGGUUCGGCCGAAAUCUUCUGGCCUCUGAUGAGCAAAGAUAAUCAUUUUAGAGCUACACUCCUCGGAUUGUUUGAGCAAAAUGUAGUAGCCUUAAACUACAGCAUGUGUUCGAAAAGUUGACCUGGUAUCGGGUCAGCUGGCCACAGUCGCCGGCGUCAGCUUGGCGGAUGACUGUCAGAUAUGAUUCAAAAUUCAUUUUCAAAGCCGACUUUUCAGGAAAAAUAUUGCGAGCUGGUGGAUUAACGAACUUCGCACACUCGGAGCAGCCCGGAUGAGGGCUGCAGCGAGAUUACAGGCUGGAGCAAAAGAAAGGAGAGUUGAUUUUGUCUCUGGAUAAAUCAGCAUCUUUGGUGAGUAUGAUCCCUUGUUUUGUUUUAAGAUGUUUUAUUUUUGUCAUCUGAUGAGAUAAACAUUGAAUGUCAACCGCUCAAAAUGACAUUUUUGUGUCGCGGCUGGGAGUUGCUGACAGGAAGAUAAAGGAUAGGUGGAUGUGGCGCAGUUCUGCAUGUUGACUUUAAUUUGGCCACGGAUGACAGUCUGCCUCUUGGCUUAGAAGGAUCAAAAGCUAAAUGAUGGAACCUGAAAAAUGAUUUGAGUUUUAAAUUGAUUGACAGGUGCACGGCGACAACAACAGCUGAUCUUGACGUAUCUGCAUCAUUUUUAUUUUACCAUCCUCCUGUGCGAUCACCUCUCUCUGCUUACUCCUGCGAACAUAAAGUGACCCGGUCAUACUUUGCCCAGCAGUUUUGUUUUUUUUCGAGACUACCCCUAAAAAAAAUGUUUACCCUAAUAUUUGAGACAGUGCAACUACAAUUUUCAUCUACUUGCAACCAGUGCAAGCAGUAUAUUUGCUGUUUGUUUAUUUAUAUAUAUUGCACUAUAGUACAAC